rnacentral:SRP_RNA from 1 species
GCCGGGCACUGUGGCGCAUGCCUUUAGUCCCAGCUACUUGGAAGGUUGAGGUGGGAGGAUCGCUUGAGCCCAGGAGUUCUGGGCUAUAGUGCGAUAUGCCGAUCGGGUGUCCACACUAAGUUCAGUAUCAAUAUGGUGACCUCCCGGGAGUGGGGGACCACCAGAUUGCCUAAGGAGGGGUGAACUGGCCCAGUUCGGAAAUGGAGCAGGUCUCCCAUGCUGAUCAGUAGUGGGAUCGUGGCUGUGAAUAGCCACUGCACUCCAACCUGGGCAACAUAAUGAGACCCUGUCUCU